GAUGAACGCUGGCGGCGUGCCUAAUACAUGCAAGUCGAGCGAACAGACGUGGAGCUUGCUCCUCUGACGUUAGCGGCGGACGGGUGAGUAACACGUGGAUAACCUACCUAUAAGACUGGGAUAACUUCGGGAAACCGGAGCUAAUACCGGAUAAUAUAUUGAACCGCAUGGUUCAAUAGUGAAAGACGGUUUUGCUGUCACUUAUAGAUGGAUCCGCGCCGCAUUAGCUAGUUGGUAAGGUAACGGCUUACCAAGGCAACGAUGCGUAGCCGACCUGAGAGGGUGAUCGGCCACACUGGAACUGAGACACGGUCCAGACUCCUACGGGAGGCAGCAGUAGGGAAUCUUCCGCAAUGGGCGAAAGCCUGACGGAGCAACGCCGCGUGAGUGAUGAAGGUCUUCGGAUCGUAAAACUCUGUUAUUAGGGAAGAACAAAUGUGUAAGUAACUAUGCACGUCUUGACGGUACCUAAUCAGAAAGCCACGGCUAACUACG
rnacentral:rRNA from 1 species